UCUAUUCUCCCUGAUGCCGGUCCUAGUGUCGGCGCCUCCGAUGAACGGGGAACCACGUUGCUGCCCUGCGCCAUCCACAGGCCCUGUCAAUCUGCCAUCCGUCGCUGCUCAUCUCCGGUCGACGACGAGCCUCCGCCGACCCUCCCCCUUCCGGUGACCGGUCCUAGCCACCAUGGACUCAGGUGCUCCAGAUCCGGACACCCUGAACUCGGAGGUCGCGGAUCCAACCAUCCCGAGUUUGGGUACUCCAAAUCCCACGACCCUAGCUUCACCAGCUCCAGAUCCGGCCUCGAGGUAAGCGGUCCGCCGUCCCUCACACCACCCCGCGUCGUCGAGGUCGACCUGCCAUGGGGAGAGCAGGCGCCAGCUAUUCCCCUUCCACCCGAUCCUCGAACGUUGUACAACAUGAAAAAUCAAGGUAUGCCUCUCAUCCAAUAUCUAAUGAGUUUGAUCCUAGCAUUCAUGUCUUAUCUGAAUUGGCAGAGUACUACUGGAAUAAUUGUGAGGUCCACUUAUCAUUUCAAGUGUCGUAUUUCAUUUUUCAUGCUUGUACAGAUAAAUUUAUCUUGCUCGCUUGUUAUUUAUUUUGUAAUGAUGAAGAAAAUUAUGCCAACUGAACCUCUUUUUUAA
rnacentral:lncRNA from 1 species